UUAGAGUUUGAUCCUGGCUCAGAACGAACGCUGGCGGCGUGCCUAACACAUGCAAGUCGAACGUGAUCCAGAGCUUGCUCUGGUGAAAGUGGCGCACGGGUGAGUAACGCGUGGAUAACCUACCCUGGUAUCCGGGAUAACAUUCCGAAAGGGGUGCUAAUACCGGAUAAGCCCACGGGCUCUUUGGAGCUUGCGGGAAAAGGUGGCCUCUAUUUAUAAGCUACUGUAUCAGGAUGGGUCCGCGUACCAUUAGCUAGUUGGCGGUGUAACGGACCACCAAGGCGACGAUGGUUAGCUGGUCUGAGAGGAUGAUCAGCCACACUGGAACUGAGACACGGUCCAGACUCCUACGGGAGGCAGCAGUGGGGAAUUUUGCGCAAUGGGGGAAACCCUSACGCAGCAACGCCGCGUGAGUGAUGAAGGCCUUUGGGUCGUAAAGCUCUGUCAGAGGGGAAGAAAUGAUAUARUSCUAAUACCACUUUAUCUUGACGGUACCCUCAAAGGAAGCACCGGCUAACUCCGUGCCAGCAGCCGCGGUAAUAC
rnacentral:rRNA from 1 species